AGUGAACGCUGGCGGCGUGCUUAACACAUGCAAGUCGAACGAGAACGGAUUAUAGCUUGCUAUAAUUGUCAGCUAAGUGGCGCACGGGUGAGUAAUGUAUAGGUAAUAUGCCUCUUACUAAGGGAUAACAAAUGGAAACGUUUGCUAAUACCUUAUACUCCUUAUUAACAGAAGUUAAUAAGGGAAAGAUUUAUUGGUAAGAGAUUAGCCUGUAUUGUAUCAGUUGGUCGGUGGGGUAAUGGCUUACCAAGACUAUGACACAUAACUGGUUUGAGAGGAUGAUCAGUCACACUGGAACUGAGACACGGUCCAGACUCCUGCGGGAGGCAGCAGUGGGGAAUAUUGCACAAUGGACGAAAGUCUGAUGCAGCGACGCCGCGUGGAGGAUGACACAUUUCGGUGCGUAAACUCCUUUUAUAUGAGAAGAUAAUGACGGUAUUAUAUGAAUAAGCACCGGCUAACUCCGUGCCAGCCGCCGCGGUAA
rnacentral:rRNA from 1 species